rnacentral:rRNA from 1 species
GAUGAACGCUGGCGGCGUGCCUAACACAUGCAAGUCGAGCGAAGCACUUACUUUAGAUUUCUUCGGAAUGACGAAGUUUGUGACUGAGCGGCGGACGGGUGAGUAACGCGUGGGCAACCUGCCCUGUACAGGGGGAUAACAGUUAGAAAUGACUGCUAAUACCGCAUAAGCCCACAGCUUCGCAUGAAGCAGUGGGAAAAACUCCGGUGGUACAGGAUGGGCCCGCGUCUGAUUAGCUAGUUGGUAAGGUAACGGCUUACCAAGGCGACGAUCAGUGGCCGACCUGAGAGGGUGACCGGCCACAUUGGGACUGAGACACGGCCCAAACUCCUACGGGAGGCAGCAGUGGGGAAUAUUGCACAAUGGGGGAAACCCUGAUGCAGCGACGCCGCGUGAGCGAUGAAGUAUUUCGGUAUGUAAAGCUCUAUAAGCAGGGAAGAAAGUGACGGUACCUGACGAAGAAGCCCCGGCUAACUACGUG